UUCUUUCAAUUAAUGCUUGACAAAUGGUUGAAGGAGAGUGGAACAGAAUGUCCUGUAGAGCUUCUACGGAAAGUUUGCCUCUUAGGGACAGGGAAGAUUAUCAGAAGGGUUUUGAGCCCUUGAAAGAUUAUUGAAAGCU